rnacentral:lncRNA from 1 species
CACAUUGGUGAAGACACAUUGGUGAAGUACAAAAAUAUAAAUUGGAUGUAGAAGAAAGGGCAAUGCAGGCAAUAGAAAAAUUAGUAGAAAUCCCUUUACAGGUUAGUUUGUAAAAUCAGGUAAGUUUAUUUAUAAUGUGCUUUCAUUUAUUUCACUGCAAAUUAUAUUUUGGAUAUAUAUAUUGUGUUUCCUCUGCCUCUCUUAUAGCAAUUUGCCUUGUAGAGUUCUAGCAAAAAGGUGGCAUCUGUUUUUACUUUCAAAUAUUUAAAUUUCCAUCAUUAUAACAAAAUCAAUUUUUCAGAGUAAUGAUUCUUACUGUGGAGUCAUUUGAUUAUUAAGACCCAUUGGCAUAAGAUUACAUCCUCUGACUAUAAAAAUCGUGGAAGAAAACCUAGGAAAUAUUCGUCUGGACAUUGCACUUGGCAGUGAAUUUAUGGGCUCUUUGGAAUCCUGCAGAUAUUAUCAUGAUAAUUAAACAAAACACUUAGAGAAACUGCCAACCCUAGGAUGAAAUAUAUUGUUACUGUGCUUUGGGAUUAAAAUAAGUAACUACAGUUUAUAGAACUUUUAUACUGAUACACAGACACUAAAAAGGGAAAGGGUUUGGAUGAGAAGCUCUGCUAUGCAAUCAAGAAUCUCAGCCACUCAUUUCUGUAGGAGCUGCAGGAGCUCUUUGUAAAGAGAGGUUAUGGAGUCUGCAGCUUCAGGAAA